GCACCGAUGGUUCAGUGGUAGAAUUCUCGCCUUUCACAUGGGAGACCUGGGUUCAAUUCCUGGCCAGUGCA
rnacentral:tRNA from 1 species